UGAGGAAUAUUGGUCAAUGGGCGAAAGCCUGAACCAGCCAUGCCGCGUGCAGGAAGACUGCCCUAAGGGUUGUAAACUGCUUUUAUAUGGGAAGAAACCUCUGCACUUGUGCAGGGCUGACGGUACCAUAUGAAUAAGCACCGGCUAACUCCGUGCCAGCAGCCGCGGUAAUACGGAGGGUGCAAGCGUUAUCCGGAAUCAUUGGGUUUAAAGGGUGCGCAGGCGGAAUGGUAAGUCAGUGGUGAAAUCCUGCGGCUUAACCGGAGAAUUGCCAUUGAUACUGCCAUUCUUGAGUACAGUCGGAGUGGGCGGAAUGUGUCAUGUAGCGGUGAAAUGCAUAGAUAUGACACAGAACGCCGAUCGCGAAAGCAGCUCACUAGACUGUCACUGACGCUGAGGCACGAAAGCGUGGGGAGCGAACA
rnacentral:rRNA from 1 species